rnacentral:tRNA from 1 species
GCUGCAAUGGUGUAUCGGUAACAUUAAACACUUCCACCAAUUAAUUGGAUGCGAUGUUUAGCACUGGGUUCGACUCCCAGUUGCAGCA